AUACUUACCUAUGGGGGCGAUACAAUGAUCAUGAAGGUGGUUAACCCAGGACGGGGCUCGGCCAUGGCACUUCGGUUGUGCUGACCCUUCCGAAUUCCCCAAAGGAGCAAACAGUAUGUGACUGAAGUGCCCUUGAGCAAGGCACCUU
rnacentral:snRNA from 1 species